AGUUUGAUCAUGGCUCAGGACGAACGCUGGCGGCGUGCUUAACACAUGCAAGUCGAACGGAAAGGCCCCUUCGGGGGUACUCGAGUGGCGAACGGGUGAGUAACACGUGGGUGAUCUGCCCCCAACUUUGGGAUAAGCCUGGGAAACUGGGUCUAAUACCGGAUAUGACCACAUUUCGCAUGGGGUGUGGUGGAAAGCUUUUGCGGUUGGGGAUGGGCCCGCGGCCUAUCAGCUUGUUGGUGGGGUAAUGGCCUACCAAGGCGACGACGGGUAGCCGACCUGAGAGGGUGAUCGGCCACACUGGGACUGAGACACGGCCCAGACUCCUACGGGAGGCAGCAGUGGGGAAUAUUGCACAAUGGGCGGAAGCCUGAUGCAGCGACGCCGCGUGAGGGAUGACGGCCUUCGGGUUGUAAACCUCUUUCACCAGGGACGAAGCGUGAGUGACGGUACCUGGAGAAGAAGCACCGGCCAACUACGUGCCAGCAGCCGCGGUAAUACGUAGGGUGCGAGCGUUGUCCGGAAUUACUGGGCGUAAAGAGCUCGUAGGCGGUUUGUCGCGUCGUCUGUGAAAUUCUGCAACUCAAUUGUAGGCGUGCAGGCGAUACGGGCAGACUUGAGUACUACAGGGGAGACUGGAAUUCCUGGUGUAGCGGUGAAAUGCGCAGAUAUCAGGAGGAACACCGGUGGCGAAGGCGGGUCUCUGGGUAGUAACUGACGCUGAGGAGCGAAAGCGUGGGUAGCGAACAGGAUUAGAUACCCUGGUAGUCCACGCCGUAAACGGUGGGUACUAGGUGUGGGUUCCUUUUCACGGGAUCCGUGCCGUAGCUAACGCAUUAAGUAC
rnacentral:rRNA from 4 species